UCACCACCACCAUCACCCUGACUAGUCUUUCAGGCGAUUGGUGCCGGAAGACGUUCAGAGCUUCCGGUGGCAUGCGUGCUAAGAGAGAACCCCCGGAAGAAUCUUUUUUCCGGGGGUUUUUUUAU
rfam:Morganella morganii subsp. morganii KT, complete genome.